rnacentral:tRNA from 1 species
GCUAAUUAAGUGUCCACCUUCGCACAUUGACUUUUCGCGUCAAAAGAGCAUACUAAAUGCACUUGGCU